GACCUGAUGGUGUAGUGGUAACACACCUGCUGAAUUUGGCCAAAAACUGUUCCAUUAAGCAGGAGGCUCUGGUUCUAAUCUGGGUCAGGUCA